UACGUAGGGGGCAAGCGUUGUCCGGAAUCAUUGGGCGUAAAGAGCGUGUAGGCGGUUCGGUAAGUCGGCUGUGAAAGUCCAGGGCUCAACCCUGGGAUGCCGGUCGAUACUGCCGGACUAGAGUUCGGAAGAGGCGAGUGGAAUUCCAGGUGUAGCGGUGAAAUGCGUAGAUAUCUGGAGGAACACCGGUGGCGAAGGCGGCAUCCUGGACCGGCAUUGACGCUGAGGCGCGAAAGCUAGGGGAGCAAACGGG
rnacentral:rRNA from 1 species